AGGACGAAUAAUCCGUCACCUUGUUCUGAGGACGAACAUCGUCCACUGCACGCAACUCCUUGGCCAGAGCCGUCAGGUCCUGCAAGAUCGGGAAGUGAAGCAGGAAACAGAAAGCUGCUGGAGAGGAAGAAGUUAUAGAGGAAAAACCAACCAAUGAGAAGCCAAACAGAUGCGAGGAGAGAAAUGACUGUAAAGCGGAUGCUCUCCAAGCUGCUGGAGGGAAGAAAGCGUGGGUUAAAAUGGCAGCCAAGAGAGUCCGGCGGGGAAAGGAGUCAAACAAGAAGUGGAGCAAGGAGGCUCGGUCCAACAACGAACAUCUGAUUGGAUCGCUCAAGGAUGGAGAGCAGAAAGAGCGGGGAAAAAACCCCAAAAACUACACACACACACUUCAGAUGUCAAACAAACCCCCAAAGCUCCAGGUUCUAGUUCUAAGGCAGCUAGAGCGCUACACGGUUCUGGUUCUGAUCUCACCGCUGG